rnacentral:rRNA from 1 species
UGGUGGAGUGAUUUGUCUGGUUAAUUCCGUUAACGAACGAGACCUUAACCUACUAAAUAGUUACGUGAUUCCCGAAUCGCGGACAACUUCUUAGAGGGACUAUUGACAUCCAGUCAAUGGAAGUUUGAGGCAAUAACA